rnacentral:rRNA from 1 species
GACGAACGCUGGCGGCGUGCCUAAUACAUGCAAGUUGAGCGCUGAAGGUUGGUCCUUGUACCAACUGGAUGAGCAGCGAUCGGGUGAGUAACGCGUGGGGAAUCUGCCUUUGAGCGGGGGACAACAUUCGGAAACGAAUGCUAAUACCGCAUAAAAACUUUAAACACAAGUCUUAAGUUUGAAAGAUGCAAUUGCAUCACUCAAAGAUGAUCCCGCGUUGUAUUAGCUAGUUGGUGCGGUAAAGGCUCAACCAGGCGAUGAUACAUAGCCGACCUGAGAGGGUGGACGGGCCCCGCUGGACUUGGACACCGCCCCAGCCUCUUCGGGAGGGCGCCGGAGGGAAUCUUCGGCAAUGGGGGAAAGGCUUACCGCGCCACGCCGCGGGAGAGAAGAAGGUUUUCGGAUCGUAAAACUCUGUUGGUAGGGAAGAACGUUGGUGAGAGUAGAAAGCUCAUCAAGUGACGGUACCUACCCAGAAAGCGCCGGCUAACUACGUG